rnacentral:sRNA from 1 species
UGUGUGAGCCUGUGGGUAUCCGGAAUGGAGAUUCUGUGUGAGCCUGUGGGUAUCCUGAAUAGAGAUUCUGUGUGAGCCUGUGGGUAUCCGGAAUAGAGAUUCUGUGUGAGCCUGUGGGUAUCCUGAAUAGAGAUUCUGUGUGAGCCUGUGGGUAUCCUGAAUAGAGAUUCUGUGUGAGCCUGUGGGUAUCCUGAAUAGAGAUUCUGUGUGAGCCUGUGGGUAUCCGGAAUAGAGAUUCUGUGUGAGCCUGUGGGUAUCCUGAAUAGAGAUUCUGUGUGAGCCUGUGGGUAUCCUGAAUAGAGAUUCUGUGUGAGCCUGUGGGUAUCCUGAAUA